AUAGACUGACAUAUGUUUUAAAUGCACAAGAUCCUGUCUGACCUUGGAAGCUAAGCAGAGUCAGCUUUGGUUAGUACUAGAAUGGGAGACUGCCAAAAAAUACCAGGUGCUGUAGGCU
rnacentral:rRNA from 1 species